rnacentral:lncRNA from 1 species
AAUCAAAUCCUACGGAUAAAGACAUCUCUGACGUCACAAGUGGAUGAUUACAAGAGGCAGCUGGAUGAAGAGUCAAAGGUUUGUUUGGACGUGGGGUUGCGGUGGAGACAGAGCUGCCGCCUUAAAGUUAUAGGUUACAGCUGGGGUUGGUGGCUCAUGCCUGUAAUCCCAGAACUUUGGGAGGCCUAGGUGGGAGGUUCGCUUAAGGCCAGGAGUUCGAGACCAGCCCGAACAACACAGCAAGACCCCCCCCCACCCCCCCCACCCCCAACGCCAUCUCUACCAAAAUAAAAAAUAAAAAAGCUGCUGGGCAUGGUGGCUCA